UCUGGAAAUGUGCCCCGGAAGACCUCUUUCUGAUCUAGCCUCGAUGUGUUUAAGUCAAUUUUUAUGUAGCUUGGGAAAAAUACAAUAGAUUCGCUGUUACUUGCUGUAACAAGUGAGUGCAGCUGAGCCUAGCUCAUGCAUAUCUUAUGAAGGCAGAGGCAGCCACGUUCUCACGGCUUGCCCCGAGCUUUUGUAUAAAUAGCCUGCGUUUAGAAACAGUUCAAUUGACCAGAAACUCAACUCGGAAAUUAGCACACGGGACCUGCCAACCUGCCAAAAAAACUUAAAUCAAGGAUUAGAAGAGUGAAAUUACUUUUAAAAUGCUUUUAAAUUGAGUAUAUUUAAAGUCCAGGAAGUCAGCUCUUUAAAAAUGUUUACUAUAUUUAUUUAUUUUAUCAUGUGUAUGAGUGUGUGGCAGAGUCUGUGUGGAAGCCAAAGGACUAUUUGCAGGAGUUGGAUCUCUCCUUCUACCGUGUGAGUCAUGGGAGCUGAACCAAGGCUGUCAGACUUGGAAAGCAUCAAAAGCAUCGGGAGGGCACCAUCACUUGGGGACACUUCAGUAGAUGGAAAGACUUCACACCUAAAUAUCACGGAAUAACUUUUUCCAGAAUAACGUUUCCAAGGCGAUGGCAAUUAACCCGGCAGCUCCCAAAUGGUCGAUGCGUAGAGAAUACAGACUGUGUGGAUGUCCAGCCCUGAAUGGGACCUACACGUCGCACCCCUCUCCCAAGACUCAGGGAUUUUCCCAGAGGUGGAGCAGACAGACUAGAAGAACCGGAAGUAUCAAGAACAUCAGGAAACAGUAUUUUCCGGAAUCAACAGGGCAGUUGCAAUUAUGAAUUCACAUAAAUUAUGACAGAUCAGCUCCUCUAAGAGACAUACCAAUUGUGUAUGUGUGUGCAUGCAUAUUUCAUAACAGGAUUCCAAUGUCAUACAUAUAUACAUAUUUUGCAACAGCGUUUUACAACAUUUAAAGAAUAGGACAAAACAGAAAUGAUGGGUAGGUCAACUUAGGGUACAGUUUGUGAUUGCAAAUUUCUUUUUUUAAAUAAUUGAUGCAAAUGGACAAAAUCCAGCUAUGGAAAUAUGAACCCCAUCAAACUGAAUCAAUCAACAUUUAUUGAAUGUUCUGCCUAGCAAAAAGAAAAGCCACCGUUUUUGAAAUGUACAUGAAUAUUUUAUUAAACCAUAUGCUGAUGCCUAAAAUACAUUUAAUAAAUUUUAAAGGGUCAGGGCUGGAGAGGUGGUUCAGCUGUAAAAUGCUUGCCCUGCAAACCUGAACCCCUCAGUACAGAUUUUCAGGACCCAAAACCAAAACCAGUCAUAGUACAACUGUCUGCUGUCAUCCUUGUGUGUCUGCAGGAAACGGGAGGCAGAGACGAGAAUGAAUCUCCAAAAGUUAGCUUGGUCAUAGUAAGUCCUACUUUCUCUAUGGAAAGGAGAGGAAGGACAGACACCCCAAGUAUAUCCUCUAGCCCCACUAGCCCAGUGACACACUAUUGCCUAUGGUCACGGCAUUAAUUAGGGAAGGUUGCCUGCGUGAGUGGGGAGUUACUGACUUGAGCAAAGGCAACUUAACCAGGGUCUGCAUUAGAGACUCUCCACCACCAGCAACCAAGAACUGCCUAGUUAUCCUCCUCCGAGGGUGGAGCCUCCUGCAUACCUCUCCGCUCUACAACCGAAUGUUAACUUCUCAGUUUUGCACUGUCUUACGCAGGUCUCCACAGCUGCUGUGAACCUAUAACUUCAAAAUUGUGACGUGUGCAGAAGGCAGUUCUUGAUAGCACUCCUUCCUUCCCUAUGGCUCUUACAGGCUUUCGGUCCCCCUUUUCCUUCAUGUUCCCUAGGACUUGAAAGGGGACAGUCGGAUCUCCUGUUUAGAGAAGAACACUGAAUAACUACAUACCCUUCAGGCAGAAACUGAAGGCCAUUUGGGAGUGCUGCUUAGUGCCUUACUCCCUAUGGCUUGCUGCAGAGUUUGCUUUUGUGUAUAACCCAGAACCAGCCAGGCAUGGUAAUCCCUGCACCCCAGCACUCGGGAGGCAGAGGCAGGAGGAUCUCUUUUAAGUUCGAGA